CUAGCCGUAAACGGUGCACGUUUGCUGUAAAAGGAAUCGACCCCUUUUGUGGCGAAGCUAACGCGAUAAACGUGCCGCCUGGGAAGUACGGUCGCAAGAUUAAAACUCAAAGAAAUUGACGGGGGCCUGCACAAGCGGUGGAGUAUGUGGCUCAAUUCGAUGCAACGCGAAGAACCUUACCUGGCCUUGACAUGCAUAUAGUAGAAGGGUGAAAGCCUGACGAGGUAGCAAUACCAGUAUGCACAGGUGC
rnacentral:rRNA from 1 species